AUUGAACGCUGGCGGCAUGCCUUACACAUGCAAGUCGAACGGCAGCACGGGUGCUUGCACCUGGUGGCGAGUGGCGAACGGGUGAGUAAUACAUCGGAACAUGUCCUGUAGUGGGGGAUAGCGCGGCGAAAGCCGGAUUAAUACCGCAUACGAUCUACGGAUGAAAGCGGGGGACCUUCGGGCCUCGCGCUAUAGGGUUGGCCGAUGGCUGAUUAGCUAGUUGGUGGGGUAAAGGCCUACCAAGGCGACGAUCAGUAGCUGGUCUGAGAGGACGACCAGCCACACUGGGACUGAGACACGGCCCAGACUCCUACGGGAGGCAGCAGUGGGGAAUUUUGGACAAUGGGCGAAAGCCUGAUCCAGCAAUGCCGCGUGUGUGAAGAAGGCCUUCGGGUUGUAAAGCACUUUUGUCCGGAAAGAAAUCCUUGGCCCUAAUACGGUCGGGGGAUGACGGUACCGGAAGAAUAAGCACCGGCUAACUACGUG
rnacentral:rRNA from 1 species